AACCAAGUAUGAUGAUUGACUUACCGCCCCAGCCUGAAGAAUGUGAUGACGGUUUUCUCUGAAAGGAG
rnacentral:snoRNA from 1 species